GACGAACGCUGGCGGCGUGCUUAACACAUGCAAGUCGAACGGAAAGGCCCUGCUUUUGUGGGGUGCUCGAGUGGCGAACGGGUGAGUAACACGUGAGUAACCUGCCCUUGACUUUGGGAUAACUUCAGGAAACUGGGGCUAAUACCGGAUAGGAGCUCCUGCUGCAUGGUGGGGGUUGGAAGGUUUGGGCGGUUGGGGAUGGACUCGCGGCUUAUCAGCUUGUUGGUGGGGUAGUGGCUUACCAAGGCUUUGACGGGUAGCCGGCCUGAGAGGGUGACCGGCCACAUUGGGACUGAGAUACGGCCCAGACUCCUACGGGAGGCAGCAGUGGGGAAUAUUGCACAAUGGGCGGAAGCCUGAUGCAGCAACGCCGCGUGCGGGAUGACGGCCUUCGGGUUGUAAACCGCUUUCGCCUGUGACGAAGCGUGAGUGACGGUAAUGGGUAAAGAAGCACCGGCUAACUACGUG
rnacentral:rRNA from 1 species